rnacentral:rRNA from 1 species
GCUUAACACAUGCAAGUCGAGCGGUAGCACAGGGGAGCUUGCUCCCUGGGUGACGAGCGGCGGACGGGUGAGUAAUGUCUGGGAAACUGCCUGAUGGAGGGGGAUAACUACUGGAAACGGUAGCUAAUACCGCAUAACGUCGCAAGACCAAAGAGGGGGACCUUCGGGCCUCUUGCCAUCAGAUGUGCCCAGAUGGGAUUAGCUAGUAGGUGGGGUAAUGGCUCACCUAGGCGACGAUCCCUAGCUGGUCUGAGAGGAUGACCAGCCACACUGGAACUGAGACACGGUCCAGACUCCUACGGGAGGCAGCAGUGGGGAAUAUUGCACAAUGGGCGCAAGCCUGAUGCAGCCAUGCCGCGUGUGCGAAGAAGGCCUUCGGGUUGUAAAGCACUUUCAGCGAGGAGGAAGGUGGUGAACUUAAUACGUUCAUCAAUUGACGUUACUCGCAGAAGAAGCACCGGCUAACUCCGUGCCAGCAGCCGCGGUAAUACGGAGGGUGCAAGCGUUAAUCGGAAUUACUGGGCGUAAAGCGCACGCGGGCGGUUUGUUAAGUCAGAUGUGAAAUCCCCGGGCUCAACCUGGGAACUGCAUUUGAAACUGGCAAGCUAGAGUCUCGUAGAGGGGGGUAGAAUUCCUAGGUGUAGCGGUGAAUAUGCGUAGAGAUCUGGAGGAAUACCGGUGGCGA